rnacentral:tRNA from 1 species
UCUGGAAAACGCUUGAAGGUCAAGCGCUCACGCUUAUCGGCUCGGCAGCCUGCAACAAUGUUUGCGGUGAUUGGUGGCGUUUCAUUGCAGCCCUCUUGGGUCUGUAGCUCAGCUGGUUAGAGCACCGUCUUGAUAAGGCGGGGGUCGUUGGUUCGAGCCCAACCAGACCCACCACCCUACGAUUGGUGCGAUUCACCUGGGGGUGUAGCUCAGCUGGGAGAGCACCUGCUUUGCAAGCAGGGGGUCAUCGGUUCGAUCCCGUUCACCUCCACCAUCAAACGCAAGUGCAUAUUUUAUUUGUGUAUUUGCGUUUGAUUUUCAAUAGGCUGCGUUCAUUAACAAUUCGAAAAGCUGAUAAUUGCAUUUGUAUAUGCAUUUGCGAUUGCAUCAAAACUUUGUCAACGUACUAUUUCUUUGGCUUAGGUCAAGGUUAUAG